rnacentral:rRNA from 1 species
GACGAACGCUGGCGGCGUGCUUAACACAUGCCAGUCGAACGGAAAGGCCCUGCUUUUGUGGGGUGCUCGAGUGGCGAACGGGUGAGUAACACGUGAGUAACCUGCCCUUGACUUUGGGAUAACUUCAGGAAACUGGGGCUAAUACCGGAUAGGAGCUCCUGCUGCAUGGUGGGGGUUGGAAAGUUUCGGCGGUUGGGGAUGGACUCGCGGCUUAUCAGCUUGUUGGUGGGGUAGUGGCUUACCAAGGCUUUGACGGGUAGCCGGCCUGAGAGGGUGACCGGCCACAUGGGGACUGAGAUACGGCCCAGACUCCUACGGGAGGCAGCAGUGGGGAAUAUUGCACAAGGGGCGGAAGCCUGAUGCAGCAACGCCGCGUGCGGGAUGACGGCCUUCGGGUUGGAAACCGCUUUCGCCUGUGACGAAGCGUGAGUGACGGGAAUGGGUAAAGAAGCACAGGCUAACUACGU